GACGUAGGGGGCCAGCGUUGUUCGGAAUUACUGGGUGUAAAGGGUUCGUAGGCGGUGUGGCAAGUCGGGAGUGAAAUCUCUGGGCUCAACCCCGAGUCGGCCGUGCCGAACUGGCCUGCUUGGAGCACUGUAGAGGCAGAUGGAAUUCCGGGUGUAGCGGUGGAAUGCGUAGAGAUCCGGAAGAACACCGGUGGCGAAGGCGGUCUGCUGG
rnacentral:rRNA from 1 species